rnacentral:rRNA from 1 species
UACGGGGGGGGGCAAGCGUUGUUCGGAAUUACUGGGCGUGAAGGGCGCGUAGGCGGCCUGCUAAGUCACACGUGAAAUCCCUCGGCUCAACCGGGGAACUGCGUGUGAUACUGGCGGGCUUGAAUUCGGGAGAGGGAUGUGGAAUUCCAGGUGUAGCGGUGAAAUGCGUAGAUAUCUGGAGGAACACCGGUGGCGAAGGCGGCAUCCUGGACCGAGAUUGACGCUGAGGCGCGAAAGCUAGGGGAGCAAACGGG